rnacentral:rRNA from 1 species
CCUACGGGUGGCAGCAGUGAGGAAUAUUUGUCAAUGGACGAGAGUCUGAACCAGCCAAGUAGCGUGAAGGAUGACUGCCCUAUGGGUUGUAAACUUCUUUUAUAUGGGAAUAAAACGUUCCACGAGUGGGAUUUUGUAUGUACCAUAUGAAUAAGGAUCGGCUAACUCCGUUCCAGCAGCCGCGGUAAUACGGAGGAUCCGAGCGUUAUCCGGAUUUAUUGGGUUUAAAGGGCGCGUAGGUGGAUUGUUAAGUCAGUUGUGAAAGUUUGCGGCGCAACCGUAAAAUUGCAGUUGAAACUGGCAGUCUUGAGUACAGUAGAGGUGGGCGGAAUUCGUGGUGUAGCGGUGAAAUGCUUAGAUAUCACGAAGAACUCCGAUUGCGAAGGCAGUUCACUGGACUGCAACUGACACUGAGGCUCGAAAGUGUGGGUAUCAAACAGGAUUAGAUACCCUUGUAGUC